rnacentral:lncRNA from 1 species
GGGGAAGCGAUGGAGCUGGGUCCUCCGGUAGCCAGUGAGGAGGGCGGGGCAGGCAUGGGCCUGCGUCUGCCUCCAGAGGGGUGGAGCGCCAUAGAGCCCCCGGGUAGGCAUGAGGACCCAGCUGGGACAGGCAGGAAGAGGGCCUGCUUGUCCCAACGGACGCAGAAGGGGCUAGCCGGAUGGUCUGGCAAUGCCCCCCCCCUUGGCACCAGGGCCGGGCAGCGAGAGGGGCUGCAUAGUCCCAGAAGGCACCAGCCUGGGGUGCCUGGAACAGUCGCCGGAGGCUCUGGGACAAUCUCCCUGCGCGGUGCAGGGGGUGACACAAGAUGUGUCAGAGGGGACAUGUGGAGACAGGGCCCACACGUACCCAGAUGGAUCGGCCCUGAUUAUUGUGUGCAGGUACGGGAGUCCGGGGCCGUCAUGCGGGACCACGCCGGGGAGCCAGGCCGAGGGUCCGGGGCCGCCAUGCGGGACCACGCCGGGGAGCCAGGCCGAGGGUCCGGGGCCGCCAUGCGGGACCACGCCGGGGAGCCAGGCCGAGGGUCCGGGGCCGCCAAGCGGGACCACGCCGGGGAGCCAGGCCGAGGGUCCGGGGCCGCCAAGCGGGACCACGCCGGAGAGCCAGGCCGAGGGUCCGGGGCCGCCAAGCGGGACCACGCCGGAGAGCCAGGCCGAGGGUCCGGGGCCGCCAAGCGGGACCACGCCGGGGAGCCAGGCCGAGGGUCCGGGGCCGCCAAGCGGGACCACGCCGGGGAGCCAGGCCGAGGGUCCGGGGCCGCCACGCCUGACCACGCCGGGGAGCCAGCCCGAGGGACCGGGGCCGCCACGCCUGACCACGCCGGGGAGCCAGCCCGAGGGACCGGGGCCGCCACGCCUGACCACGCCGGGGAGCCAGCCCGAGGGACCGGGGCCGCCACGCCUGACCACGCCGGGGAGCCAGCCCGAGGGACCGGGUCCUCCAAGGGGAGGAUACAGCAGGGCAGGAGCCCUGUGGUUGCCGCCGUCCGCCCCGCCGCCUCCACUGAUGGUACUGUUGGGGCUCCGAGGACGUAGCCCUUGGAGGGGGGGCUCUGUCAGGAUUGCCUGCAGCUGGCCUCCACACCUGACUUUAAUCCUGAC